rnacentral:guide_RNA from 1 species
AAAUCAAACUAAAUUAGCAAGGUGUCGAUGUAGAUGGGUAUGAUAUUAAU